UCUUAACACAUGCAAGUCGAGCGGUAAGGCCCUUCGGGGUACACGAGCGGCGAACGGGUGAGUAACACGUGGGUGAUCUGCCUCGCACUCUGGGAUAAGCCUGGGAAACUGGGUCUAAUACCGGAUAUGACCUUACAUCGCAUGGUGUUUGGUGGAAAGAUUUAUCGGUGCGAGAUGGGCCCGCGGCCUAUCAGCUUGUUGGUGGGGUAAUGGCCUACCAAGGCGACGACGGGUAGCCGGCCUGAGAGGGCGACCGGCCACACUGGGACUGAGACACGGCCCAGACUCCUACGGGAGGCAGCAGUGGGGAAUAUUGCACAAUGGGCGAAAGCCUGAUGCAGCGACGCCGCGUGAGGGAUGACGGCCUUCGGGUUGUAAACCUCUUUCGACAGGGACGAAGCGCAAGUGACGGUACCUGUAGAAGAAGCACCGGCCAACUACGUGCCAGCAGCCGCGGUAAUACGUAGGGUGCGAGCGUUCCGGAAUUACUGGGCGUAAAGAGCUUGUAGGCGGCUUGUCGCGUCGAUCGUGAAAACUUGGGGCUCAACCCCAAGCUUGCGGUCGAUACGGGCAGGCUUGAGUAA
rnacentral:rRNA from 1 species